AUGUCACUUCUCCAUCACACAAGUGAUUGCGCAGAGCUGAAGAGCUUUGGAAAGGAAAGGCCCAGUCAAUGGUACAGCAAGAAUUAUGCAGAGAAGAGUGAGGAUAUACUAACAGAUGCCGUGAGCAGAUACUUAAGUGGCUUCCGAACGCAGCAAAAUAAAGCUAAUUGUCCUGGAAGAGAACUCCACCAUAACUCGUCAUCCAUCCUAACACACUUCAGUCACAGGUUAAGAGAAACAUGCCAGUUUCUCUGA
rnacentral:lncRNA from 1 species